rnacentral:rRNA from 1 species
AACGCUAGCUACAGGCUUAACACAUGCAAGUCGAGGGGCAGCAUGAACUUAGCUUGCUAAGUUUGAUGGCGACCGGCGCACGGGUGAGUAACACGUAUCCAACCUGCCGAUGACUCGGGGAUAGCCUUUCGAAAGAAAGAUUAAUACCCGAUGGCAUAGUUCUUCCGCAUGGUAGAACUAUUAAAGAAUUUCGGUCAUCGAUGGGGAUGCGUUCCAUUAGGUUGUUGGCGGGGUAACGGCCCACCAAGCCUUCGAUGGAUAGGGGUUCUGAGAGGAAGGUCCCCCACAUUGGAACUGAGACACGGUCCAAACUCCUACGGGAGGCAGCAGUGGGGAAUAUUGGUCAAUGGGCGCAAGCCUGAACCAGCCAAGUAGCGUGCAGGAUGACGGCCCUAUGGGUUGUAAACUGCUUUUAUAAGGGAAUAAAGUGAGUCUCGUGAGGCUUUUUGCAUGUACCUUAUGAAUAAGGACCGGCUAAUUCCGUGCCAGCAGCCGCGGUAAUACGGAAGGUCCGGGCGUUAUCCGGAUUUAUUGGGUUUAAAGGGAGCGUAGGCCGGAGAUUAAGCGUGUUGUGAAAUGUAGACGCUCAACGUCUGCACUGCAGCGCGAACUGGUUUCCUUGAGUACGCACAAAGUGGGCGGAAUUCGUGGUGUAGCGGUGAAAUGCUUAGAUAUCACGAAGAACUCCGAUUG